rnacentral:sRNA from 1 species
GUUUUUUCCCUUUUUAAAUUACAAAUUAGUAUGUAAACCUUUUAAGUUUUAUAGUAUUUUUCUUCUACUUUGUCUUUUGACACUAUUUCUUACUUU